UUGUGUGGGACUGUCCCAACUGCUCCAUUACUGAUUGGUUGUUGUUAACAGCUGUAGAGUGCUGGAAGGAUAAAUCAAGUGCAGGGCGCUUUGAUGGCCAACCUGAAGAAGUCAUUGCAGAGUUUGUUCUAGUGAGGUUGAGCAGUUGAGAAGACUCGUCUUGAGGGAAGUUACUGAGGAGAGUGUGGAGUUGAGUGAUGGGAUUGUUUCCUCCGUUGGUGUCUGAGAAGCUUUGUUGAUGACAAAGAGGUGUCAUUGACUGGAGUAGAGACGUGUUUGACUGAGACAUAGCAGCACUGGAAGCAGACAGAUUAUGAUUAUCCACCACUUGCUGCUGUUGCUGAUGCUGCUGAGUGAGUUGCUGCUGCAGCAUCUGCGGCUGCACUAAGGAAGGAGGUUGCACUGAGAAACCUGAGGGAUUUUGGAACUGAAGAAGAGAAGCAGCAGCUUUAGCAGGAUCAAUGCCUCUCAUGUCUUGAAGUGCAGCUGCAGCCAUUGCUUGGUAAGCAUCAUUCUGCAUACCAAAUAUUUCUUUUUAAUCAUGUUUUUUUUUUCAAUUCUAUUAAUUUUGUUUUUGUGUGUUUACUUGCGUCACCUAAAACAUUACACAAACACAAUGUUGAUGUGUAUAAUUGUAUUUGUCAUACGUAAGUACGACUUAACUUUUCCACAAGUAUUAUAUCAAACAUAAAAAGGGUAGAAUUGUGUAUAAUUGUGUAUUAUACCUUUUCGCUUAUAAUUAUUUUUGUUAAUUAAAUCUGUAUUUUCUUUGUUUUUAUAUAUAUAUAAUGUUUUUAGAGAUUUAAGUGAACUGAUGCAACCAUUUAAAUGAAUGGUUGCAAUUGUUUGGAUGAAUAUUUGCAACUGUUUAAAUGAACCAUUAUAAUCCUUAAUGGUUAACCAUUGCAAGUUUUGGUGUUCAACCAUUGCAACAUUUGGUGAUCAACCAUUGCAAUCUUUGGUUGUUAACCAUUGCAAUAUUUGGUCUAUAUAUAUAUAUAUAUUAUAGGUUUUAGCAAUGAAAAAAUACAACAAAAAGAAACAUCAAAACAAAGAAAGAAAUAGAUAAAGAAAUGAAGAGAGAUUCACUACUCCAAAGGAACAUAAAAGAUCUUUGUAGAAUCACAUGUAAACCUCGGAAAUUUCUGUUUGUAUCUCUUGUAUCCUAGCCUAAAAGAAAAAGAAAAUUUAGUUGUCUUAUCUUACAUUAGCAAUUGCAUGUGAAUUUUAGAACUGAAAAGAUAAAAUAAAAUAAAAACACACAAAUGUUAUUAGAGAUUUUUUUUUCACCAUGUAUUUUUGGUGUUUAGGUAUCUGGCAGGCUUUUUUUUAAAAAAUCUUAAAAUAUAUAUUUCAAAAUUUUGUCUUAUAAAUAAAAAUUGUAUUAUACUGUUUUCAACAAUUCAACAUUACAAGAAAAUGUUUUGAAGAGUUAUAUCACUUUCUCAAAAAAAAAAAAUCGUUUGUAUACUCUAUUGAUAAUAUCAAACCAAAAUAUAGAAUUAAGAGAUUGGAUCUUUUUAUCACAGUUUUAUAUCUUUUAUUUACAAUUAAUUUUUAAUAAUUUAAAAAUAUUUUAAUAUUCGUCCUUUUAUUUUUAACUAUAUUAAUUAUAUAAAUAUUUUUAAAUGUUGACUUCUAUAUACUAUUAUUUUUUGGUUCUAAACAUUUUAAUAUAUUAUUGUUAUUAUAGUUUUCCUCCGCGACAUCGCGGGGUUCCAUUCCUAGUUCUCUUAAUAGCCAAUCAACACACAAACCCUAAUAGUUUCUAAAAACACACACACACAAGCCCUAAUCAUAAAUUCUUCUAUGUUGCAAGAUAUUUAUGGAUAUCACGUUCACGUUUCUAUGUUGUAACCAUUCUACAAAUUUCGUUUCAUAUUCCUUAUACUUUGGUGAAAACAAAACUUACAUUGAUCUUACGUUUGUUUUUUUGCUAUUUUGUUUUCAAUACCACAUACUAUUUUUUUUAGCAACUGAAUUAUAUUAAAAAUUUAGAGGACUUUAUAGCAUGAAGCCAUGUCCACUUGGAAAAUUUUGUUACAAAGACAUGCUCAUUGAAAAUCCUAGAAAUGAAAAAUGCUUGAAAAAAAAACUAAAGAAAAAUGUUUGCUAGAAUUCCAAAAAGCUCUCUAGAUCGUCAAUUCGUGGUAAUGGCUUGUACAUGCCCUUUGCAGUCUAAUCGAAGCUAGAUGUGGUUGAUGAUAAAAGAUACCACAUGUCCAGAGGCGGGCUUGUACCAAGGCUCACGAAACAUUCGUAUGGGACCCCCACCUAAUGGGACCCCACUCUUAAUUUUUGCUUAUGCAAUGUUAGUAUGUGUAAUCUUAUGUGCAACAGUGCAAGACAAAUUAAAAAUCAGAGUUUUGGUUUGUGGUGUACAGAAUAAAAUAUUAUGUGGGUCUGUAGCAUUACCAAGUAAGUUAUUUGAUUUUCUCUAUUUUUUUAUUUAUUUAAAUGAUUUAUAAUAUUAUAGUAAAUUUUUUUUUAACUCACCAGAAGAAACUUACAAAACUGGUUCUUUAGCUUCUUCUUUGUAAACAUAAGUUCAUAAGAAAACCACAUAUUUUUUCUUUUGAUUCUUAGGUAAAAUCAAUUUUUUUUUUCUGAAUAGGGCCCCGGAAAUCUCAGGCCCGGCUCUGCGCAUGUCCGAGAGCUGCUCGAAUCGCUAAUGCUUCCGCCAUGAGAGGAGAAGCUACGUGUUCUUGGAAGAAACAUCCUCUAGCUUAUCCCCGAUGAUGAUUGGUCAGUAAAAAUCCAAUACCAUAUACUAUAAACGUUAGGGUAUAUCUUAAUUGAUGUACCAAUAAAAGUGUAUUACGAGUACGAACUACGGAUCGAUACGUGUCAAGAAAAAAGGUUACUGCUGACGCAAAACGAGAUCUAGUUUUAGUGUAAAGCGCGCCCUGAAUAGCGGGUCCGAAUAUUUCGGUGUUUCACACAAACCAAUAAAUGAACUGGGACACAAAAAUCACUUUCUCAUUUCUAUGUGGACCAGUGACUUUCAGACAAAAGUCUUAAUAGCUCCAAAAGACCAAAACCAUCAAGUUGAUUGGAGAAGUGGUGAGCAACGAAAAUGACAUAACAAAAGUUCAGUAAAAAUAUUCAUAUAAGUAAAAGAAAAAGACCAAAAGAUUUUAUAAUUACAGUAUUACGACAGAUAUAGUUUUUUUUUUUUCUGUUUCCACAAAGUCCAACACAAAGCUCUCUUCUCAAGUAAUAAAGAGAGAUAAAAAGCUAGUAAUUAAACCAAGAGGAUCAAUACUUAAUAACUUGAACACCAAGCAAAAGAGUUUUUUCUUUCUACUUGUCUAGUAGUUGAACGAACCCCCAACGGAUGCAAUACCGUUACCGAGACUCCUCGGGUCUGACCGGUUCCCCAAGUCAUCACAGUUCCCAUUGCUCGGGACCUUAUCCACAUUAUUGGAAGAUGGAGCAGAGUUGAGAAGCUCAAGGCCUCUUUUACCCAUUUGCUGCACUUCUUGUGGUGAGAGUAUCUUAAUGCACCACACGCUGCUCACAAACUCCCUGUGGUCAGAUUGAAAGUAAACCACAAAAGUUAGAUCAGUGGCACAAUGCCAAGUGAGGGAAGUAACUUACGGCCAAGGGUCAUCGCCGAGGAGAAGAACAUCGUUCUCUCGGUCAACAAAUACAAGCUGCCAGCCUGAUCUCACAGGAUCUUCUAAUUGGCCUUCGAGGCCAAACAUGCGAGCAAGCUCGCUUCGCAGCUCGUUGUAGCUGCUGAACUUCGUUAUAUCUAAUGAUCUUCCAAAAGAACCCGACUUGUACACCUGCGAGAACAUUUGCAUUAGGUCAUCACUAGUUACGUGCGAAACAAGAAACACACUUUUAUUUACCUUGACAAAGGUAUUAGACUGUUGAUUCUCUGAGGGCUGUAGAAAACCUGGUUCCUCUAUACAACUAGAAGGUGUCGUCAUUGUACCAGAGAACUCGUUGUUGAAAGUUGAUGAUGUGAAGGGUAGAGUGGUGGAGUCGCCGCCUUCAAUGCCAAUGCUUCUAAGGUUUGACAUUCCGUUUGGGAUCAGAAGGGAAGAUGAAUCUAUGUUGACUCCAAAAAGAAGAUGGCUGUGAGGGUCUGAGGGGUUCUCUUCUUGACCACUGGGGAAUGGAGGCAACGAGACAGCAUUUGGAGAAACGUUACUUGUGUGGGACUGUCCCAACUGCUCCAUUACUGAUUGGUUGUUGUUAACAGCUGUAGAGUGCUGGAAGGAUAAAUCAAGUGCAGGGCGCUUUGAUGGCCAACCUGAAGAAGUCAUUGCAGAGUUUGUUCUAGUGAGGUUGAGCAGUUGAGAAGACUCGUCUUGAGGGAAGUUACUGAGGAGAGUGUGGAGUUGAGUGAUGGGAUUGUUUCCUCCGUUGGUGUCUGAGAAGCUUUGUUGAUGACAAAGAGGUGUCAUUGACUGGAGUAGAGACGUGUUUGACUGAGACAUAGCAGCACUGGAAGCAGACAGAUUAUGAUUAUCCACCACUUGCUGCUGUUGCUGAUGCUGCUGAGUGAGUUGCUGCUGCAGCAUCUGCGGCUGCACUAAGGAAGGAGGU
rnacentral:lncRNA from 1 species